rnacentral:misc_RNA from 1 species
AACGCACAUUGCGCCCUCUGGUAUUCCGGGGGGCAUGCCUGUUCGAGCCUCAAUGAAAAAUCUCCUCCGAUGCUGGUGAAUUCCAGUACAUGGGGGGUUCUGGUGGAUGCUCACACCCUGAACUGUGUGUGCACCGCUCAAAUUCGAUGUCCGCGAGCCUGAGGAUUGCAGCCGACGUAGUGAGAUUCGAUCUCGUUGUCUGUAAAACCUGACUGAGGCAAUGGGACCUUAAGCGCUAUGGCGCCAACAUCAAGACGGUUGAGCUCGGAUCAGGUAGGGAUACCCGCUGAACUUAA